rnacentral:rRNA from 1 species
CCUACGGGGUGCAGCAGUGGGGAAUAUUGGUCAAUGGACGCAACUCUGACCCAGCAACGCCGCGUGAAUGAUGACGGUCCUCGGAUUGUAAAGCUCUGUGAUUGGGGAUGAAAACAAUGACGGUACCCCAAUAGCAAGCCACGGCUAACUACGUGCCAGCAGCCGCGGCAAUACGUAGGUGGCAAGCGUUAGCCGGAAUGACUGGGCGUCAAGGGUGCGUAGGUGGUUUAGUAAGUCGGCGGUGAAAUUCCGGGGCUCAACCUUGGCGCUACCGCCAAAACUAUUAGACUAGAGUGCAGGAGGGGUAAGUGGAAUUCCUAGUGUAGCGGUGAAAUGCGUAGAUAUUAGGAGGAACACCAGGGGCGAAGGCGACUUACUGGACUGUAACUGACACUGAGGCACGAAAGCGUGGGGAGCAAACAGGAUUAGAUACCCUUGUAGUC